GACGAACGCUGGCGGCGUGCUUAACACAUGCAAGUCGAGCGGUAAGGCCCUUUCGGGGGUACACGAGCGGCGAACGGGUGAGUAACACGUGGGUGACCUGCCUUUAGCUCUGGGAUAAGCCUGGGAAACUGGGUCUAAUACCGGAUAUGACUCCAUGACGCAUGUUGUGGGGUGGAAAGCCUUGUGCGGCUAGGGAUGGGCCCGCGGCCUAUCAGCUUGUUGGUGGGGUGAUGGCCUACCAAGGCGACGACGGGUAGCCGGCCUGAGAGGGCGACCGGCCACACUGGGACUGAGAUACGGCCCAGACUCCUACGGGAGGCAGCAGUGGGGAAUCUUGCGCAAUGGGCGAAAGCCUGACGCAGCGACGCCGCGUGAGGGAUGACGGCCUCGGUU
rnacentral:rRNA from 1 species